GUUCCAGUGGCGCAAUCGGUUAGCGCGCGGUACUUAUACAACAGUAUAUGUGCGGGUGAUGCCGAGGUUGUGAGUUCGAGCCUCACCUGGAGCA
rfam:Nomascus leucogenys chromosome 1a, whole genome shotgun sequence.